AGUCCUGCCUGGCCGGGUCGGACGAUUCGCGGCCUAUCAGCUUGUUGGUGGGGUAGUGGCUCACCAAGGCUUUGACGGGUAGCCGGCCUGAGAGGGCGACCGGCCACACUGGGACUGAGAUACGGCCCAGACUCCUACGGGAGGCAGCAGUGGGGAAUAUUGCACAAUGGGCGAAAGCCUGAUGCAGUAACGCCGCGUGCGGGAUGACGGCCUUCGGGUUGUAAACCGCUUUCACCAGGGGCGAAUUUGACGGUACCUGGAGAAGAAGCACCGGCUAACUACGUGCCAGCAGCCGCGGUGAUACGUAGGGUGCGAGCGUUGUCCGGAUUUAUUGGGCGUAAAGAGCUCGUAGGUGGUUUGUUGCGUCGGGAGUGAAAACACACAGCUUAACUGUGUGCUUGCUUUCGAUACGGGCAGACUUGAGGGAUGUAGGGGAGAACGGAAUUCCUGGUGGAGCGGUGGAAUGCGCAGAUAUCAGGAGGAACACCGGUGGCGAAGGCGGUUCUCUUGACAUUUCCUGACGCUGAGGAGCGAAAGCGUGGGGAGCAAACAGGCUUAGAUACCCUGGUAGUCCACGCCGUAAACGGUGGGCACUAGGUGUGGGGGACAUUCCACGUUCUCCGUGCCGUAGCUAACGCAUUAAGUGCCCCGCCUGGGGAGUACGGAAU
rnacentral:rRNA from 1 species